UCCACCGGAAAAAGAGGAGUGGCGAACGGGUGAGUAACACGUGGGUAACCUGCCCAUCAGAAGGGGAUAACACUUGGAAACAGGUGCUAAUACCGUAUAACAAUCAAAACCGCAUGGUUUUGAUUUGAAAGGCGCUUUCGGGUGUCGCUGAUGGAUGGACCCGCGGUGCAUUAGCUAGUUGGUGAGGUAACGGCUCACCAAGGCCACGAUGCAUAGCCGACCUGAGAGGGUGAUCGGCCACAUUGGGACUGAGACACGGCCCAAACUCCUACGGGAGGCAGCAGUAGGGAAUCUUCGGCAAUGGACGAAAGUCUGACCGAGCAACGCCGCGUGAGUGAAGAAGGUUUUCGGAUCGUAAAACUCUGUUGUUAGAGAAGAACAAGGAUGAGAGUAACUGUUCAUCCCUUGACGGUAUCUAACCAGAAAGCCACGGCUAACUACGUGCCAGCAGCCGCGGUAAUACGUAGGUGGCAAGCGUUGUCCGGAUUUAUUGGGCGUAAAGCGAGCGCAGGCGGUUUCUUAAGUCUGAUGUGAAAGCCCCCGGCUCAACCGGGGAGGGUCAUUGGAAACUGGGAGACUUGAGUGCAGAAGAGGAGAGUGGAAUUCCAUGUGUAGCGGUGAAAUGCGUAGAUAUAUGGAGGAACACCAGUGGCGAAGGCGGCUCUCUGGUCUGUAACUGACGCUGAGGCUCGAAAGCGUGGGGAGCAAACAGG
rnacentral:rRNA from 1 species